UACGAAGGGGGCUAGCGUUGUUCGGAUUUACUGGGCGUAAAGCGCACGUAGGUGGAUCGUUAAGUCGGGGGUGAAAUCCUGGAGCUCAACUCCAGAACUGCCUUCGAUACUGGCGAUCUUGAGUCCGGAAGAGGUGAGUGGAAUUCCUAGUGUAGAGGUGGAAUUCGUAGAUAUUAGGAAGAACACCCGUGGCGAAGGCGGCCCACUGGGCCGGUACUGACGCUGAGGCGCGAAGGCGUGGGGAGCGAACGGG
rnacentral:rRNA from 1 species